rnacentral:lncRNA from 1 species
ACUCCACACGAAUAAUGCAGCGCAUCUGUGUUUCACGCCGAACAAGGACCUACGGGCGCCGGCGAUCGCCGGAUCUUUAUGAAAUUAUCUCAACAUCACCCAGAGACAUAGUAUAAUCAAAGCAGGAAGCGAGGCAGGGAUAAACACGAACCGGAUAGGAUACCGAUCAUAGGUGGAACUGACACUGCGACACACACACACCACAACAACAAGCUCCAGCUGAGCAGACGCAGGCACGGUGGCCGGCGAGAGUGGCACCGCGUCGCUCGCUGGCUGCUGACUGGGCACUGGGCCUCGACACGACAACACUUUUAUUUAGCCCACGUCACCGCGCGACCCCGCGCAAAGCACCCCACACCUAGUACGUACUCGUAGUAAAAAGGUAGCACCCCACUCCACUCCACUGGCUGACUGAGCAUCGCGCCGUGCCACGUAGGAGCACACGGCCGCCGCCGCCGUGGACGCGCGCCUCACACGCUCACGGUGGCCUCCUCUGCCGCGGCCGCGGGCGCCUCCUCCGCUGCAGCCGGCGCUUCCUCGGCGACGGCCGCCACCUCCGGCUCGGCGGCAGCGGGUGCCGCCUCCUCCUCCUUCACCUCCUCGGCCGCCGCCGCCGGCUCGGCCUCUGCCACGGCCUCCUUGGUCUCCGUCUCGACCACGGCUGGCGCCUCGGCCACCGGCUCGGCCGCAGCUGCCGGCUCGGGCUCCUUGGCCUCCUCCGUCACGGCGGCGGCCGGCGCCUCCUCCUUGGCCGCCUCGACCUCGACGGGGGCAGGCGCCUCGACCUCGGCCUCCGCCGGCGCGGGGACCUCCUCCGUCUUCGCGGCCUCCUCGGCGGCCACGGGCGUCUCCACCGCCGGCGCCUCCUCCGUCAGCGCGGCCGUCGGGUUCUGGACCUGCACGUUUGCACACUCAAUGCCAUCAGCCCCACGCACAUGCCAGCACGUACACAAACCGAUCAAGCUCGAGCUCGACCACGAUCAUGGGCGUUCGUCAGAUCGCGUAGAUCCAUCGGAACGACCAUCGAUCCGAGAACAUGAAAGAGAACAGACGAUCGAUCGAUCCGAUCGAGGCAAGCUAGCUAUACGUACAUCAGCGGUGGCCAUUGCCGUGGUGGAAGCAAGAAAAUGCCCGGAGCUAGCUGAAGCUAGUGCUACUGUGACCCUGUUGUGUGCCUGUGGCUGAUCCGAUGAGAGAGUGUGAGGCGUGUGUGUCUGUGUGGAGCAAUGGAGGCUAUAUAUAGCGGCCUCCGGAGGCCAAAACGGGGAGAACACAAACGCAAAUCGAAGGCCAAAAAAAUUUAAAAACGAAGCCGAUCGACGGGUCGAGGAAAUAAACAAGCCGAGUCCGUCUCAUGAUGAUCGGGAAUCUGGGGAGCUG